rnacentral:ncRNA from 1 species
AACAGGUUUGGUCCUGGCCUUUCUAUUGGUUAGUAGUAAAAUUACACAUGCAAGCAUCCCCGACCCAGUGAGAAUGCCCUCUAAGUCCAUGGACUAAAAGGAGCUGACAUCAAGCACACUAAUAAGUAGCUCAUAACGUCUUGCUCAACCACACCCCCACGGGCUACAGCAGUGAUAAAAAUUAAGCCAUGAACGAAAGUUCGACUAAGUUAUACUACUCAGGAUUGGUAAAUUUCGUGCCAGCCACCGCGGUCAUACGAAUAAUCCAAAUUAAUAGACAACGGCGUAAAGCGUGUUUAUGAGUAACCCCUAAAAUAAAGUCAAAUAGAACCCAAGCUGUAAAAUGCUACAGGUCCACUAAGAACAAUGACGAAAGUAACUUUACAACCUCAGACUACACGACAAUUAAGACCCAAACUGGGAUUAGAUACCCCACUAUGCUUAAUUAUAAACAAAGGUAAUUAAAUAACAAAAUUACUCGCCAGAGAACUACGUGCCACAGCCCAAAACUCAAAGGACUUGGCGGUGCUUUAUACCCCCUAGAGGAGCCUGUCCUAUAAUCGAUAAACCCCGAUAUACCUCACCAUCUCUUGCUAAUUCAGCUUAUAUACCGCCAUCUUCAGCAAACCCUAAAAAGGACGCUAAGUAAGCCCAAUCACCAAGUCGUAAAAAAGUUAGGUCAAGGUGUAGCCCAUGAGAUGGGAAGUCAUGGGCUACAUUUUCUUACCAAGAAAAUACACGUCAGCCCGUAUGAAACCUACGAGCCCAAGGAGGAUUUAGCAGUAAACUGAAAAUAGAGUGUCCAGUUGAACCAGGCCAUAAAGCACGCACACACCGCCCGUCACCCUCCUCAAAUUCCACCACCUAUAUACAUAAUAACAACUCAUGAAUGCCAGAGGAGAUAAGUCGUAACAAGGUAAGUGUACUGGAAAGUGCACUUGGAGGAAA